rnacentral:rRNA from 1 species
AGUGAACGCUGGCGGCAGGCCUAAUACAUGCAAGUCGAACGGCAGCACAGCAGAGCUUGCUCUGUGGGUGGCGAGUGGCGGACGGGUGAGGAAUACAUGGGAAUCUGCCCAGUCGUGGGGGAUAACGUAGGGAAACUUACGCUAAUACCGCAUGCGCCCUUCGGGGGAAAGCCGGGGACCUUCGGGCCUGGCGCGAUUGGAUGAGCCCAUGUCGGAUUAGCUAGUUGGCGGGGUAAUGGCCCACCAAGGCGACGAUCCGUAGCUGGUCUGAGAGGAUGAUCAGCCACACUGGAACUGAGACACGGUCCAGACUCCUACGGGAGGCAGCAGUAGGGAAUAUUGGACAAUGGGCGCAAGCCUGAUCCAGCCAUGCCGCGUGAGUGAAGAAGGCCCUCGGGUUGUAAAGCUCUUUUGUCCGGAAGAAAAGCGCCGGGUUAAUACCCUGGUGUCCUGACGGUACCGGAAGAAUAAGCACCGGCUAACUUCGUGCC